UGAGGUCACCUAGGAGAUAACUGCCACAUUUGCCACAAGCUCAGCUGCUCAUAGAUUUCAGCUGUGCCUUCUGAAAAGAUGACCAGAAAGCUUCCUAGACCUCUGGGCUCUUUACGAAACCCACCUUCUCCACCUCCUCCUUCCCCUCUUCAUCCAGUCUCCUUUCAUUUCCUGCCUGUGCCAGCAACCACCCCUAAACCUGCUGCAGAGACCAAUUCCCUUUUUGUUUACCAACCUACCCAUUUCCCUUCUAUAAGGCACGCUUCCUUCUUCCCCACCUUAAUGGUCCACAUGCCCUCCUCUUCCUCUAUUGACAGACUUCCCACUAAGUGCCCUGAUCUUGUUUUUUUCCCUUCCCCCAACUCCUCCAACUUUCCCUUAACUCCUCCCAAUAGCCCUACCAAAGCAAUGCAUUUUAUCUCACGACCACAAAAAAGGCAGCUAUUGACUGCUAGAUUGGGACCAAGGAUGAAAUGUCCCAGGACACACAGACUAUAAGUGAAGAAAGUGGUUGGGAACUGGAGCCUCGAUUCUCCUCUUUCCAUAACCAAGAUGACGUCAUUGGCAAAAAUCUGCACAAGCUGUCUCCAACUAUAUUUCAACUGAGACCAACUGAGGAAUUUCAUGCAAGAAUUUCAAGGCAAGAGCUGGCGUUUCCAAAAAGAAGCGUCACUGAUAAGGAAGGGCUUAUAAAAUAGUUUAUCUAGAUACUCAGUUGAUGUCAAAGUGAUCGACAAGCUGUCGCUGACGAUAAGAACACACUAGAAGGACAACUGCCAAUAAACUACAAAGAAGACAGAACUAUUUGUCCAACUGGAAUGAGUUACUGUCUUAAACUGACCAAGUUUAUGAUGAGACAGGAAAACAGGCCCAGUCUACAUGUUAUCUAUACAGUCCAGGAUUGCUCUGUCUAUGACAACUCCAUUCUCAGUGAGCAGAUAGUUCACUUUGCUGAAAGGACAGAACAUUGCAUUUCUAUUCACCAGGCAUUCACCAGUGAUGAGGAUAAUGACGACAGCCUCUGGAGAAAUGCACUCAACCAUGUUGGGGUACUGACUCUUUCCCAUUUCCCCAGUUCCUGGUUUGGAGUCCUCACUAAGAACACAAUUGUUGCAUGCUCUGCAGCUGGGGUCCUACUGUCUCUGAUCCCGGGGGAAGGGGGUGAAUAGAUGCAGAACCAAACAACACAGGCUCUGGGAGGUUGUAAGCAAUCUUGCUUAUUAAACAAAGGACUGAGGUA